GGGGAUGUAGCUCAGCGGGAGAGCACCUGCUUUGCAAGCAGGGGGUCGGCGGUUCGAAUCCGCUCAUCUCCACCA
rnacentral:tRNA from 1 species